CCUACGGGAGGCAGCAGUGGGGAAUCUUGCGCAAUGGGCGAAAGCCUGACGCAGCCAUGCCGCGUGAAUGAUGAAGGUCUUAGGAUUGUAAAAUUCUUUCACCGGGGACGAUAAUGACGGUACCCGGAGAAGAAGCCCCGGCUAACUUCGUGCCAGCAGCCGCGGUAAUACGAAGGGGGCUAGCGUUGCUCGGAAUUACUGGGCGUAAAGGGAGCGUAGGCGGAUAGUUAAGUCAGAGGUGAAAGCCCAGGGCUCAACCUUGGAAUUGCCUUUGAUACUGGCUAUCUUGAGUAUGGGAGAGGUAAGCGGAACUCCGAGUGUAGAGGUGAAAUUCGUAGAUAUUCGGAAGAACACCAGUGGCGAAGGCGGCUUACUGGCCCAUUACUGACGCUGAGGCUCGAAAGCGUGGGGAGCAAACAGGAUUAGAUACCCUGGUAGUCCACGCCGUAAACUAUGAGAGCUAGUUGUCGGCAUGCAUGCAUGUCGGUGACGCAGCUAACGCAUUAAGCUCUCCGCCUGGGGAGUACGGUCGCAAGAUUAAAACUUAAAUGAAUUGACGG
rnacentral:rRNA from 1 species